rnacentral:rRNA from 1 species
UACGUAGGGCGCAAGCGUUGUCCGGAAUUAUUGGGCGUAAAGAGCUCGUAGGCGGCUUGUCACGUCGGGUGUGAAAGCCCGGGGCUUAACCCCGGGUCUGCAUUCGAUACGGGCAGGCUAGAGUUCGGUAGGGGAGACUGGAAUUCCUGGUGUAGCGGUGAAAUGCGCAGAUAUCAGGAGGAACACCGGUGGCGAAGGCGGGUCUCUGGGCCGAUACUGACGCUGAGGAGCGAAAGCGUGGGGAGCGAACAGG